GUCCUUGCUUCCAUAGCACAAAUACUACAAUUGGAAAAAUUCAAAGAUUAGCUUGGCUUCUGGGCAAGGAAGACACAAAUUUAUGGAAUGUUCAAUAUUUUA
ensembl:snRNA U6 U6 spliceosomal RNA